rnacentral:rRNA from 1 species
AACGAACGCUGGCGGCAUGCCUAACACAUGCAAGUCGAACGAGACCUUCGGGUCUAGUGGCGCACGGGUGCGUAACGCGUGGGAACCUGCCCUUAGGUUCGGAAUAACUCCCCGAAAGGGGUGCUAAUACCGGAUAAUGUCUUCGGACCAAAGAUUUAUCGCCUUUGGAUGGGCCCGCGUUGGAUUAGCUAGUUGGUAGGGUAAAAGCCUACCAAGGCGACGAUCCAUAGCUGGUCUGAGAGGAUGAUCAGCCACACUGGGACUGAGACACGGCCCAGACUCCUGCGGAAGGCAGGAGUGGGGAAAAUUGGAAAAUGGGGGAAGGCCUGAACCAGCAAUGCCGGGUGAGUGAUGAGGGCCUUAGGGUUGAAAAGCUCUUUUCCCCGGGAUGAUAAUGACAGUACCGGGAGAAUAAGCCCCGGCUAACUCCGU